CCUACGGGCGGCAGCAGUCGAGAAUCAUUCACAAUGGGGGAAACCCUGAUGGGGCGACGCCGCGUGGGGGAAUGAAGGUCUGCGGAUUGUAAACCCCUGUCAUGGGGGAGCAAAUUAAAAAGAGAGUACCACAAGAGGAAGAGACGGCUAACUCUGUGCCAGCAGCCGCGGUAAUACAGAGGUCUCAAGCGUUGUUCGGAACCACUGGGCGUAAAGCGUGCGGAGGCUGUUUCGUAAGUCGUGUGUGAAAGGCGCGGGCUCAACCCGCGGACGGCACAUGAUACUGCGAGACUAGAGUAAUGGAGUGGGCACCGGAAUUCUCGUUGUAGCCGUGACAUGCGUAGCUAUCGCGCGGACCCCUCGUGGCGAAGGCGGGUUCCUGGACAUUAACUGCCGCUGCGGCACGAAGGCCCGGGGAGCGAAAGGGAUUAGAUACCCUAGUAGUC
rnacentral:rRNA from 1 species